rfam:Paenibacillus sp. FSL R5-0912, complete genome.
UAUUUCUAAAGGCAAACUUCCUGAAAGGGUAGGACGCAAAGCAAUGGGCCUAAGAAUGCAGAGAAUCCGCAUUUAUGGUCGCCAGGCUGCCAAU